AUUGAACGCUGGCGGCAGGCUUAACACAUGCAAGUCGAGCGGGGUGAUGGUGCUUGCACUAUCACUUAGCGGCGGACGGGUGAGUAAUGCUUAGGAAUCUGCCUAUUAGUGGGGGACAACAUCUCGAAAGGGAUGCUAAUACCGCAUACGUCCUACGGGAGAAAGCAGGGGAUCACUUGUGACCUUGCGCUAAUAGAUGAGCCUAAGUCGGAUUAGCUAGUUGGUGGGGUAAAGGCCUACCAAGGCGACGAUCUGUAGCGGGUCUGAGAGGAUGGUCAGCCACACUGGGACAGAGAACCGGCCCAGACUCCUACGGGAGGCAGCAGUGGGGAAUAGUGGACAAUGGGGGGAAACCUGAUCCAGCCAUGCCGCGUGUGUGAAGAAGGCCUUAUGGUUGUAAAGCACUUUAAGCGAGGAGGAGGCUCUUUUGGUUAAUACCCAAGAUGAGUGGACGUUACUCGCAGAAUAAGCACCGGCUAACUCUGUGCCAGCAGCCGCCGUAA
rnacentral:rRNA from 1 species